rnacentral:rRNA from 1 species
AGAGUUUGAUCCUGGCUCAGGACGAACGCUGGCGGCGUGCCUAAUACAUGCAAGUCGAACGCUCGUGAGCGAUCACGGGAGUGGCAGACGGGUGAGUAACGCGUGGGAACAUACCCUCCGGUUCGGAAUAGCUCAGGGAAACUUGGAUUAAUACCGGAUACGGCUGAGAGGCGAAAGAUUGAUCGCCGGAGGAUUGGCCC